rnacentral:rRNA from 1 species
UAUUCUGGUGUCCUAGGCGUAGAGGAACCACACCAGUCCAUCCCAAACUUGGUGGUCAAACUGUACUGCGCUGACGAUACUAUAGGGGAGGUCAUGCAAAAAAUAGCUCGAUGCCAGGAU